rnacentral:rRNA from 1 species
UUAGUGGCAGACGGGUGAGUAAUGCGUAGGAAUCUACCUAGUAGUACGGAAUAGCCAUUAGAAAUGGUGGGUAAUACUGUAUAAUCCCCGAGGGGGAAAGAUUUAUCGCUAUUAGAUGAGCCUACGUUAGAUUAGCUAGUUGGUGAGGUAAUGGCUUACCAAGGCUAUGAUCUAUAGCUGGUCUGAGAGGACGAUCAGCCACACUGGAACUGAGAUACGGUCCAGACUCCUACGGGAGGCAGCAGUGGGGAAUAUUGGACAAUGGGCGAAAGCCUGAUCCAGCUAUGCCGCGUGAGUGAAGAAGGCCUUCGGGUUGUAAAACUCUUUCAAUAGGGAAGAUAAUGCCGGG